ensembl:lncRNA
GUUUUGGUUUUCUGCUCCCUUUUCUCUGAAGGCUCCUAGGAAGUCACUGCUUCGGGAAAAUCAGAUCCUGCUGGUGAGAACAGCCAUGCGAACUGUCCUGAGUGGGGGAUAAUGACAUAAAGUUAUAAUGAUGACCACUCAAGCGCAAUAGUGACAACCCAAGACUUGACUAGGAUGUGUGAAGCUUCAAGAUAACUAAACUCACCUCAGGAAGCAGUCAUUUCGUUCUCCUGACUUGGGAGAAGGAAGAUUCUAAGCCCCUCGAAAGCCUUCUCUCCAACUUAACUCCCCACCUAGAGCUGCCUCAACACCUGUUGGAAAUUUUCUCACCACUUCUUGGACAUUCCUUCCAGAGGAUCCAGUUGUCAGUGUUACCACAGAACCCCAACUUAACACACCAGCUCAGAGAUCUGUUCUCAGAAGGGCUGGUCACUAAGGAAAUGACUAUCAGGCCAGGGCUACCUGAGAGAUGCCCUGCUUAUCCUGGCCUCUCAUUCUGCCCAGGAGAACCCCUUACAUCCCAAAUGUUCAUUGAGUGGGAAGAGACUGGUGACAGAAUGCUCACUCUGGUGGAGAUGGGGGAAGAGUGGGGUGAAGACAAAGGGGG